CCUCUUGUAGUGUAGUGGUUAGCACGUGAGAUUUUGAUUAGACUCUCGUCUGUCUCAAUAUUCUCGAGUCCCCGGUUCGAACCCGGGCAAGAGGU